UUAAGUUAUUAAGGGCGCACGGUGGAUGCCUUGGCACUAGAAGCCGAUGAAGGACGUUACUAACGACGAUAUGCUUUGGGGAGCUGUAAGUAAGCUUUGAUCCAGAGAUUUCCGAAUGGGGAAACCCAGCAUGAGUUAUGUCAUGUUAUCGAUAUGUGAAUACAUAGCAUAUCAGAAGGCACACCCGGAGAACUGAAACAUCUUAGUACCCGGAGGAAGAGAAAGAAAAUUCGAUUCCCUUAGUAGCGGCGAGCGAAACGGGAAGAGCCCAAACCAACAAGCUUGCUUGUUGGGGUUGUAGGACACUUUAUACGGAGUUACAAAGGACGACAUUAGACGAAUCAUCUGGAAAGAUGAAUCAAAGAAGGUAAUAAUCCUGUAGUCGAAAAUGUUGUCUCUCUUGAGUGGAUCCUGAGUACGACGGAGCACGUGAAAUUCCGUCGGAAUCUGGGAGGACCAUCUCCUAAGGCUAAAUACUCUCUAGUGACCGAUAGUGAACCAGUACCGUGAGGGAAAGGUGAAAAGCACCCCGGAAGGGGAGUGAAAUAGAACCUGAAACCGUGUGCUUACAAGUAGUCAGAGCCCGUUAAUGGGUGAUGGCGUGCCUUUUGUAGAAUGAACCGGCGAGUUACGAUUUGAUGCAAGGUUAAGCAGUAAAUGUGGAGCCGCAGCGAAAGCGAGUCUGAAUAGGGCGUUUAGUAUUUGGUCGUAGACCCGAAACCAGGUGAUCUACCCUUGGUCAGGUUGAAGUUCAGGUAACACUGAAUGGAGGACCGAACCGACUUACGUUGAAAAGUGAGCGGAUGAACUGAGGGUAGCGGAGAAAUUCCAAUCGAACCUGGAGAUAGCUGGUUCUCUCCGAAAUAGCUUUAGGGCUAGCCUCAAGUGAUGAUUAUUGGAGGUAGAGCACUGUUUGGACGAGGGGCCCCUCUCGGGUUACCGAAUUCAGACAAACUCCGAAUGCCAAUUAAUUUAACUUGGGAGUCAGAACAUGGGUGAUAAGGUCCGUGUUCGAAAGGGAAACAGCCCAGACCACCAGCUAAGGUCCCAAAAUAUAUGUUAAGUGGAAAAGGAUGUGGCGUUGCCCAGACAACUAGGAUGUUGGCUUAGAAGCAGCCAUCAUUUAAAGAGUGCGUAAUAGCUCACUAGUCGAGUGACACUGCGCCGAAAAUGUACCGGGGCUAAACAUAUUACCGAAGCUGUGGAUUGUCCUUUGGACAAUGGUAGGAGAGCGUUCUAAGGGCGUUGAAGCAUGAUCGUAAGGACAUGUGGAGCGCUUAGAAGUGAGAAUGCCGGUGUGAGUAGCGAAAGACGGGUGAGAAUCCCGUCCACCGAUUGACUAAGGUUUCCAGAGGAAGGCUCGUCCGCUCUGGGUUAGUCGGGUCCUAAGCUGAGGCCGACAGGCGUAGGCGAUGGAUAACAGGUUGAUAUUCCUGUACCACCUAUAAUCGUUUUAAUCGAUGGGGGGACGCAGUAGGAUAGGCGAAGCGUGCGAUUGGAUUGCACGUCUAAGCAGUAAGGCUGAGUAUUAGGCAAAUCCGGUACUCGUUAAGGCUGAGCUGUGAUGGGGAGAAGACAUUGUGUCUUCGAGUCGUUGAUUUCACACUGCCGAGAAAAGCCUCUAGAUAGAAAAUAGGUGCCCGUACCGCAAACCGACACAGGUAGUCAAGAUGAGAAUUCUAAGGUGAGCGAGCGAACUCUCGUUAAGGAACUCGGCAAAAUGACCCCGUAACUUCGGGAGAAGGGGUGCUCUUUAGGGUUAACGCCCAGAAGAGCCGCAGUGAAUAGGCCCAAGCGACUGUUUAUCAAAAACACAGGUCUCUGCUAAACCGUAAGGUGAUGUAUAGGGGCUGACGCCUGCCCGGUGCUGGAAGGUUAAGAGGAGUGGUUAGCUUCUGCGAAGCUACGAAUCGAAGCCCCAGUAAACGGCGGCCGUAACUAUAACGGUCCUAAGGUAGCGAAAUUCCUUGUCGGGUAAGUUCCGACCCGCACGAAAGGCGUAACGAUUUGGGCACUGUCUCAACGAGAGACUCGGUGAAAUCAUAGUACCUGUGAAGAUGCAGGUUACCCGCGACAGGACGGAAAGACCCCGUGGAGCUUUACUGUAGCCUGAUAUUGAAAUUCGGCACAGCUUGUACAGGAUAGGUAGGAGCCUUUGAAACGUGAGCGCUAGCUUACGUGGAGGCGCUGGUGGGAUACUACCCUAGCUGUGUUGGCUUUCUAACCCGCACCACUUAUCGUGGUGGGAGACAGUGUCAGGCGGGCAGUUUGACUGGGGCGGUCGCCUCCUAAAAGGUAACGGAGGCGCUCAAAGGUUCCCUCAGAAUGGUUGGAAAUCAUUCAUAGAGUGUAAAGGCAUAAGGGAGCUUGACUGCGAGACCUACAAGUCGAGCAGGGUCGAAAGACGGACUUAGUGAUCCGGUGGUUCCGCAUGGAAGGGCCAUCGCUCAACGGAUAAAAGCUACCCCGGGGAUAACAGGCUUAUCUCCCCCAAGAGUUCACAUCGACGGGGAGGUUUGGCACCUCGAUGUCGGCUCAUCGCAUCCUGGGGCUGUAGUCGGUCCCAAGGGUUGGGCUGUUCGCCCAUUAAAGCGGUACGCGAGCUGGGUUCAGAACGUCGUGAGACAGUUCGGUCCCUAUCCGUCGUGGGCGUAGGAAAUUUGAGAGGAGCUGUCCUUAGUACGAGAGGACCGGGAUGGACAUACCUCUGGUGUACCAGUUGUCGUGCCAACGGCAUAGCUGGGUAGCUAUGUGUGGACGGGAUAAGUGCUGAAAGCAUCUAAGCAUGAAGCCCCCCUCAAGAUGAGAUUUCCCAACUUCGGUUAUAAGAUCCCUCAAAGAUGAUGAGGUUAAUAGGUUCGAGGUGGAAGCAUGGUGACAUGUGGAGCUGACGAAUACUAAUCGAUCGAAGACUUAAUCAA
rnacentral:rRNA from 1 species